UACGAAGGGGGCUAGCGUUGUUCGGAAUUACUGGGCGUAAAGGGUUUGUAGGCGGUUACACAAGUCAGUGGUGAAAGCCCGGGGCUUAACCCCGGAAUUGCCAUUGAAACUGUAUAGCUAGAGAGUGUUAGAGGAAAGUGGAAUUCCUAGUGUAGGAGUGAAAUCCGUAGAGAUUAGGAGGAAUAUCGAUGGCGAAGGCAGCUUUCUGGGACAUUUCUGACGCUGAGAAACGAAAGCGUGGGUAGCAAACA
rnacentral:rRNA from 1 species